UACGGAGGUGGCAAGCGUUACUCGGAUUUACUGGGUGUAAAGGGUAUGUAGGUGGGCUUGUAAGUCAGGCGUGAAAUCCCUUGGCUCAACCAAGGAAUGGCGCUUGAAACUGCUUGUCUUGAGUGCGGAAGAGGAGAGCGGAAUUCCCGGUGUAAGGGUGAAAUCUGUAGAGAUCGGGAGGAACACCAGUGGCGAAAGCGGCUCUCUGGUCCGUAACUGACACUGAAAUACGAAAGCUUGGGGAG
rnacentral:rRNA from 1 species